AGCGUGCACAGGAUGGCGCAGCCAACAGGAUGUUGGUCAGGACGUCGCGGGAUGCGAUUCACCAGGAUGGUGGUGGAGUAAAGGGACGGGGACAAAGGGCGGGAUAUCCCGCCCUUUUUUCA
rnacentral:sRNA from 1 species